AUAGCCCGAGAGCCCGUGGGCUCUACCUGUAUGUAUUUGACCAGACCUGAAUUUUCGUACAUUGAGACCCCUAUACCUACCAUGCAUGAGGUGGGGACUCACUAAGCUCAAAGUGGUCGACGCGCCGAGCGCUCAGCCGUGCGAUUCUGUAAGCGUUGUUUAACAAACUCGCACGUGAAUUUGGUGUGAGUUUUCAAAUUGGCAUUCUGUAAAUUUCAUUGUAGUGCCGAAUCUACACUAGCGCCCCUCGCGGGUGAAUUGAACUAGCAAGCGUGAGUUUUUUUUACUAAAAUGUAUGAGUUGACGUUUGAAACGGCAUUCUGUAGUGUAAAUCACGUCGAAUUUCGGCAAGAACUUCGCAUCGCAAAAUCAUUUUAUUUGUCAAAUCAAAAGUUAGUGUUUUAUGUGUUUGUUGUGAGUGAGAAUAUACGAAAACGUUAUAAACCGCUGUUAAUUAUUAAAAAAAUACUAUUAAUUAACAAAAUUGCACUUUUAAAUAACUUUAUUCUUCAUCGAUAUUUUGUGGAGCGUAUGUUUUUAUUGAAAACAUUGUUGAAAGAGGCUGACGCUACGGAUCAGCGUGAAAUGCGUCGACAAGCCUACGAAAUUCACAAUUUAUCACUUUUAACUUGAGAUGACGACCAUGUAAAAGUAUAAAGAAAGUGUAUAGAUUGUCGAAGGAUCAUAUGAACCAGUUAGGGUGUGAAUUACACCCUUUGAUGAAGACCACUAAAAGCCAUUGAAAAGGACUUUCAACUCUUCUAAAGUUUCAGUUAUUGUGCACCUUGUUAUUUUUGGCCAAUUGAAGUUACCAAAAAAAUCAUAAAAGAAAAUAUAAGAACACAUUUGUCCCAGACAUCCCAGUGUAUAUCUGAGGUUGUGGAGGCUCUGAACAACCCAGCAACUAUAUAUAAAUAUUUAAGAUUCCCACAGAAUGCUCAAGAAUGGCAAAAGUUGAAGGAAAAGCAAAGAAAAAAGAAUAAGGUGGUUUAAGCUAAAUAGGAACAGAUGGCGGUGCACUAUAAAAAACAAACUGUUUCAAGGCCAUGACCACGACCCUCAGUAAUGAGGAAACCGAUGCAAGGAGGAGGAGGAGAGGUUUAAGCUAAAUAAAAAAAUGUUUUCUUCAUAAAAAAUUACCAAUAUUAAUGUAAUGCUAAAUAUUGCAGUUUUUAUGAAAAAUUUAGAAUCCUUUGGGUUAUUGGGUGUAUUGAUGGGAAGUUGGUGGCCUUAAAAAGAUCUGCUACCAAUAAAAAAUGGAUUUACUGUCGCAAAGAAUAUCAUGCAAGAAAUGUACAAUUUGUAAAGCUAUUAAUAUUUUUCGAAAUUCUGAUAUGUAAUCCAUAAACGAAAUGUGUAUUAAGAACCUAUGUAUUCAGAUUGUAUUCAUUUCAGUUAAAUUGUAAUUGUGUAUAUUGCUAUAAGUUAUUGUGAAAUAUAGUAUUUAUCUUAAAUAAACUUUAUUCAGUUAUAAUCAAAACAAAAUAAAAUCUACUAGAUUAGUCAAUGACAGCAAGUAAUGACCAUUAUAAUUAUUUAACAUCUUUUUGGGCUUUCUGUAUAUUGUCAACGUUCCAACCUUAUGACACCUUUUGCUAUAUAUUUUUUCAUUGCUUAGAUCGGUGGACGAGCUCCCAGCCUACCUGGUGUUAAAUGGUUACUGGAGCCCAUAGACAUCUACAACGUAAAUGCGCCACCCACCUUGAGAUAUAAAUUCUAAGGUCUCAGUAUAGUUACAACAGCUGCCCCACCCUUCAAACCGAAACGCAUUACUGCUUCACGGCAGAAAUAGGCGAUAACGCUAUGUUAUGCUAGCUAAUACCUGCUAAUAAUAGCUAGCUAUUGCUAAUAUGGAGGAAGAUACUCCUGAAGCUUUGUAGCACCGCCUUCAUUCCACUGCCCGUAACUCAGUAUAAAGAACAAUAGGUAUGUUAAAGUCGACUUCUGCGAGUGCACCAUCUCGCAGAAGGAGGCGGCGGGGCGCGUGAGAGACGCACAGGCCCGCCGCCGUCGAGCGGGGGCCAGGGAGGCGGAUAUCGCCCAAGCCCUGGCCCUCUAAGUGUUUCGGGUCCCCUCACAUGUCGGCCUGGGGACCGGCGAAGGGGGCCUAAGAAGACGACGUGCAAGCUGCUCUGCACGCGUUUUAUGCAUGAGCAUCCGGGUGAUGGAAGGCCGGCUAUUCUCAACCCUCGCUGGUUCUGACCCAGCGGGGUAUUCCGUAGGAUAGACCAUUCUAACCGGCGCCAUCUAGGCGGGCUUCGGAUAGCCUGCCGACCGAGAGGGCUGGUGGUCGUGGCGCCGACAACCGCCAGUCCGGCGUCCCGAGGGGGAGGGUGAUGGGAGAGAUGUGCUCUGCACUAAACGCUUCACUUUCCCCCCUUUGCCUUUUCAUGAGUUUUGUCUCAUGCGAGGUUUGGACGUUGGUUGUUGAGACAGGAGGUUUUAGUCGGUUCUACUCCGACAUGCCCCGCCCUCCAUCCCCAGUGAAGGGCGGAAGUCCGGCGAUUUCCUCCUGACAAAAAAAAAAAAAAAAAGGUAUGUUAAAGAGUAGAUUCAGGUGUUUGCUGAUCUAUAGGGUGCCAAUUUACCACCCUGAUAAGAUAGCAAAAAUAGUUGUUGCGUGUUGUGUUUUGCACAACAUUUGCAAUUGUGCAGAGCUGCCAGUUCCCAUGAUUUCAGAUGAUGAGAUUACAUGUACAUUAUGGUGGUCAUGUUGAAUUACUUUGUUAAAUUUUACUAAUUAGCUAACUUAUAGUGUGAAGUAACUUCAAAUAUAAAUUAAUGAUUUAUAAAAA